rnacentral:rRNA from 1 species
UACGUAGGGUGCGAGCGUUAAUCGGAAUUACUGGGCGUAAAGCGUGCGCAGGCGGCUAUUUAAGCUUGCUGUGAAAGCCCCGGGCUUAACCUGGGAACUGCAGUGAGGACUGGAUGGCUGGAGUGUGGCAGAGGGGGGUGGAAUUCCACGUGUAGCAGUGAAAUGCGUAGAGAUGUGGAGGAAUACCGAUGGCGAAGGCAGGUCUCUGGGCUGACACUGACGCUCAUGCACGAAAGCGUGGGGAGCAAACAGG